CGUUUCAUUUUUUAUUCUUCUUCUUUUUUUUUCUCUCUCUCUCUCACUCCUUCGUUUUCUUUCCAUUCUUCCAUCAUAAAUAAUAACAGUUAUUUCUUCUUUUUGUUCUUCCAACUCCUCCCUCAUUACUCUACAACUGUUUCAUUUUUCAUCUUCCUCAUCCCUCUUUCUGAUGCAUCUCUCUCUUUUUUUUCUUCCAACUUAUUCUUUGAAAAAUCACUCUCAUUCAAGAAAUGGUUUCACGAAUCAAUCAGUAUGGGGAAGUUAGUGGACGGUUUCAGUGAUUUUAUGAAUCAAGAAAUUAAGAAAGGAUUUCACGAAUCAAUCAGAAAGAGAAGUUGA